CUACCGUUAGCUCAUUUGGUAGAGCAAGGGACUGUAAUUAUUACCAAAUCAGUAUUCGUCAGGUCACUGCAUGGUUCGAGCCUGGUACGGUAGA